ACAAAUAAAAUAAAUAAAAAAGAGAAAAAAAACCUGAUUUAAUAGCGGGUCGGGUCACCUGUGAUGUUGGUUUAAAGUGCUAGAAUAGGACUCAUUUCUUUGUCUUUCUCUCUUCAAUCUUCAACCAAGAGACAAGACCCACCCACCCAGAAAUUGAUGUCUGCCACCACCAAGCCGUCCGACGAUCGCCAUCUUGCGCUGGCGUAGCCUCACCUUUUGCGUAUCCCUUCAACCCCUUCUUCUCUUUGGCCGAACCAGAUUUUCAAGAAAACCUUUGCAAUUGCCUAAAUCUAAGCCCAAGACCUUGACAUCCACCUGCCUUUACUAACCCAGAGAGCCCAGACCUUAGCAAAUUUCACCGUCACCAUACAUCAACCAAGAAAUUAACCUCUUUUUGUUUUUUCCUCCAUCUUGUGGCGCCACUUUAUCCUUCCUUCACCAGCGGCGCAGCACCUAUCUUUCCCUUUUCUACCCGAAACCCUAGCCAAGAACAACAAGCGUCUCCUCUAUUACCCGCAAUUCCCUUAAAAAACUUAAAAGCUUUACCACUUACUAUCCUUUAGUCUAAAAUCGACUUGAAAGGCACAAGGAAUCCCAGAAGCCUUUGAGUCGAAAGCCCCAAAAAUUCUUUGUAUAAACAGUUUUGUAUUGCUUGUGGAUUGUGGGUUUGGGUUUGGUGGAUUUUCUAUUUGUAGGCUAAUUGAAUUUGCUAUGUGUGUUACCUCUAUUUCUGGAUUGAUGUGAAUUCCAUUUGAUUCUUCUGGGUUAUUGAUUGAUUCUAGAACCUACUUUUUUUGGCUAAGAAUUCCAUGCUUUGCUGAUUGUGUGUGGCCUCUAAAUUGCUUUCCUAAUUGUUGUCUACUGUUUUGAGAUUUUUCUGCCAAUAGUUCUUCUGAUCUCCUAUUAAUUUUUUUUGAAUUGUCUUGUGGCACUUGGUGGAUUAGGUGAGGCUGACCUGCUGCGACUGAACUCCUAUUGAUUUCUUCUGAUUUGUGCUCGUUUGAGACUUGUUACUGAUCUAUGAGGCACGGUUUUGGAUGAUUCCUUUGUGAUCUCUGCUACCUGCUUUCUCUUGCUUGAUUGUUAAAUUUUUCCUCUAUUAAACUUUUUAAAUUAAUUAUUUUUUGGUUUAAUUCAUUACUUCUUGUGAUGUACAAUGCCACCGACAGAGCAGUUAUUCUUCUUGUGAUAUUUUUAAAGUCUCUGGAAUGGCUUAAUCUUGGAAUGUUGACUAGUUGUUCCAGUUUAUUACCAAUGAUGUGAGAAAUAGACUUUAUUUUUGGGAUAAAAUUCCUUUUUUUAUUGAUGACAGAAAGUUCUUGGCUUUAGCAUAUUAUUUAUAACUAUUUUUAUAUCUCUUACUGAUUGUAGCAUUCACUUUUUGUAUCAGUAAACUUGUUUACUUCUAGUUUUUAAACUUUUUUAUUGUUUGUUGAGAUCAUUUGAAGUAACACAGCUAUGCGUUUUCAGGUCCCUAGGUCCUCCAAGGAGUUGUAUGAGGAUAAUGAAUAUGCUCUUUACACUGUCACAUUAUUUGGUUGUGUUGCAGACAAUUUCAGAACUAGUGCACUUGAAAGAGGCUUUCGAUAAACUGAUGCAAUAAAAAUAUUGUUCAGUAUGCACCUUCCCAACGUGUUCCAAAGCACUGGUCUAAAACAAAUGGUCAUGAAGGGACUAUAUUCAAAGAGGUCACUAUCUAACGGGAAACAGAGUGGAAGAGCUGAUGGGACAUCUAGUGGAAGUCCAAGUUCAGCAUCAUCCAAAAGAGGCUAUGAAAAGAAAAGGGGUUCUAGUUCAAUGGUUCUGUUCGAUGGUGUUUAGAUUGCACUCAAGGCAUUCAUGAAAAUGGUAUUCGAGAGUGAUGUUGUUGACCAACAAUCAGAGGCUCAAAAGUAAGGCUUUGAAAGGGACAAGAAAGCUAGUUCGAGGGACAUUUGGUCUAUCAUGGAUGGAAGGUUGUCUAAGAUGGAGGUGACCAUAUGGGAUGUGAAAGAGAAGCUUAACGAGGUAAAUGCUCACUUUUAGGUGAUAGACUCUAUGGAAAAAGAGCUUAAGCUCAAAAGGGAGUUACAAAUGGGGAGAUUCCCAAGCCCAAAAAGUUCAAGAGGACUAGGGUAGAAAAGGAAGUAAACAACUACCUAUAGAGGAUGGAACAGUACUUCAGAGCCAUAGGCAUAUGGGACGAUGCUACUAAGGUAAACAUUGCUUUAAUGUAUCUUUCUUAUGUUACCUUAUUGUGUUGAGGCAAAUUGUAUGAUGAUGUCAAGCACGAAAAUGCCAUGAUUGGAACUUGAUAGGAGUUUCAAAAUGAGUUUAGAUAGCAGUUUUACUUGGAGUAUGCUAAUGAUGAGGCAUGGGCAAAAUUAUGCCAAUUUACCUAAUAGAAGGACAUAAGAGAGUAUAUCUAAAAGUUUUUUUAAUUGAUGUUUUAAAUUUCAUAUUUAAGCAAGAUCGAGGGUUUAUUUGCCUUGAUGGAUGGGUUCAAGCCAUAGAGUUACAAAUGAGAGGAAUUCAUAAGUUGGCCAAAGUCAUGACUACAACUGAAUCUUUGGUGAAGUUCAAAUCACAAAAUAAGUUAGAGUCUACCAAGCCCAAUAAGAAGGGUAAGGACAAAAAGGAUCGAAAACAUCAGUAUAGAGGAACAGACCAUGAUCAAUAUUUCAAAAAGAGAGACAAAAAUCAUUCAAACAAGGAGUCAGAGGUUAAAAUAGUAAAAAUUGGCUCAAUCGUGCUCAUUGUUGUCCAAAGUAAGGGAAGUCGUAAGCCAAAGGGCUUCAUAUUUAUGGAUCUCGUAGCUAUAGGUAAUAAAGUGAGCAUACUAAUGGACAUAGGUGUUUCAUAUUUGUUUAUUUUAACUGAUAAAACCUAGAAACUUAGCUUAAAGGUACAUAAAAAGAUUGGUACAAACAAGAUGGUGAACACCAAUGAAGUUUCACCUAUUGAAGUGGCGUGGGGAGUGGAGUUACAAUUGGAAACUGAAAGGGCAAAGAGACCAUCGAGGUAAUACCCUUGGAUGAUUAUGAAUUUGUGAUUGGGUAAAAUUUUCUUGUUUGGAUUAACGCCCUCAUUAUGUUUUUUACAAACUGUAUAUGCAUUCUAGAGGCAUAGUGCCAAUGUUUUAUACUAUUAAGACGUAGGUCUAAGAUUUGGUCCAAGGUGUUGUCGACCAUUCAAUUCGUUAAAGUAAUGAGUAGGGAUGAAGACACCUUUUUAACUAUCCUGAAGUAUGAGAAACUGAGGAAGAAGGAAAUUGACACCCCUUUGGAGGUGCUAGAUGUGCUAAAAACUUUUAACGAUGUGAUGUCUGUAAAGUUACCUAGCAAGUUACCACAUAAAAAAGAGGUAGACCAUAAGAUCGAGUUGGUGCCUGAGGCCAAGCCAUCAGCCAAGGCCCUUUAUUGAAUUCUCUACAAGAUUUGGAAGAGCUGAGGAUAUAGCUCGGGGAGUUGAUUGAUGUUGGCUACAUUAGGCCAUCUAAAAUGCCAUAUGAUGUCUCAAUUUUGUUCCAACGCAAGCAUGAUGGAUCCUUACAGUUGUGUAUUGACUACUAAGCUUGGAAUAAGUCGACCAUCAAAAACCAAUAUCCUAUCCUACUCAUUAUGGACUUGUUCAAUCAACUUAGAGGUGUAAGGUGGUUCACCAAGUUGGAUUUGAGGUUAAGCAAUUACCAGGUCAAGAUUGUAAAGCAAGAUGAGCCCAAGACAACGUGUGUCACUUAUUAUGGCUCUUAUGAGUUCUUGGUCAUGCCAUUCGAACUCACCAAUGUCUCGAUAACAUUCUGCACACUCAUGAACAAGUUACUUCAAUCAUUUCUUGAUUGUUUUAUAGUGAUUUAUCUUGAUGAUAUUGUGAUCUAUAAGCAGAUGUUGAAAGAGCAUGUAGACCACUUGAGAUAGGUGUUCAAGAUGUUACAAGAGCAUGAAUUGUAUGUGAAAAGAAGUGCUCAUUUGCCCAGUGAAAAAAAUCAUUUCUAGGUCACAUAAUGGGAGGUGGCAAGAUAUGUAUAGAUGCAGGCAAAGUUCGUGCCAUCCUGGAAUGGGAACUGCCAACCAGGGUAACUGAGUUAAAGUCAUUCCUUAGGCUGGUCAAUUACUACAGGCAUUUCAUUAAAGGUACUUAGCCAUAACCACACCAUUGAUUGAUUUGCUCAAAAAGAGAAUAGCGUAAGAAUAGAGCACUGAAUGCCAGGAAACUUUUGAUUAGUUAAAGAGGCCAAAUGAUCGAAGAGCCAGUUUUGGCAUUGCUAAACCAUGUCAAGUCGUAUGAGGUGCAUAUGGAUGUAUUAGACUUUACGAUAAAGGGAAUGCUGAUGCAAGAGAACCAUUCGAUCGCAUUUAAGAGUUGAAAGCUUAAUGAGAUCGAGCGUAGGUACAUGGUCUAAGAGAUGAAUAUUACAGUAAUGGUGUACUAUUUGCACACUUGGCAGCAUUACUUGUUGGGGUCGAGGUUCAUAGUUAUGAGGGAUAAUGUGGCAACCAACUACUUCCUAACACAAAAGAAGUUAUCCCAUAAAUAACCCUACUGGUAGGAUUUUCUUAUAGAAUUUGAUUACAGGUUAGAGUAUAAGCUAGGCGAGUGAACAUAGUGGUUGAUGCCCCGAGUAGGAAGGCAAACCUUACUGCCAUUGGCCAACCAAAGGGGUCUUUGGUGCUACGCAUCAGGGAAAGGCUCGCACAUAAUCCUUUAACUAAAGCUUUCAUCAAGUAUGCCAAGCAGGGUAAAACUAGAUGGUUUUGGUUAUAGGAUCACUUGUUGUACACUAAAGGUAAUAGGUGGUUAUGCCAUAGUAUGAAAAGCUUUGUAAGGAGGUUUUGCACGAGUGCCAUGAUUCAAGGUGGCUGCUCAUAUGAGGUGAGCCAUACUUUAGCCUUGUUAGAGGAUCAAUACUAUUGGCUGCAUAUGAAGGAUGAUAUGAAGCUUUAUGUGAAAACUUACCUUGUGUGCUAAUAAGAUAAGGUAGAGCUUAAAAAAUCAUAUGGUUUUUUGGAAGUUGUUCCCCAUACCAGAGUGACUAUAAGAGCUCAUCACUUUAGACUUCAUAGUUAAUCUACCUAAGGUAGUGGGGUUCAGAAGCAUCAUGGUAGUGGUGGAUAGGUUUUUCAAGUAUGGGAUUUUCAUUCCAGCAAUCAAGGAGUACCCAACCGAUGAGAUAGCCCAUUUGUGCCUAAAAAUAUGGUGAAGUACUAAGGAGUACCGAUGACUAUUGUUAGUGAUCGAGAUGGGUGAUUCACGGGACAGUUCUGGACUAAGUUAUUCAAGCUAUUUAGGUCAAAUUUGAAUUUUUCCACCAGCAUGCAUCCACAGACUGAUGAGCAGAUCGAGUAAGUGAAUAGACUAUUGGAGGUCUACCUUAGGUACUAUGUGAGUACCAUGCAAUGAAACUGGCCCAAGUUGCUAGAUGUCGUUUAGUUCUGAUAUAAUUUACAAAGAGGUGAAGUAAUUAACCAGAGUUCUUUUGAGAUUGUGACAAGUCAACAAUCGCUAACACCCGAUUCAAUUGUUAUAAGUUAUACAAGGCCUAAUCCAAUAGUGUACAAGUUUGCCAAAGCUUAGUAGGAGCAAGCAAACUCGACCAAAGUCUAUCUGCAUAAAGCCACGAAGAGGUAAAAGAAGUGGAUAGACCAAAAAAAGAGGGACAUACAAUUCCAAGUAGAGGACUUGGUCUUGGUGAAGCUACACCUCAUCAUACACCAUAAGGGUCUGCAUAAAGGCUUAGUCAAGAGGUGCAAAGAACCUUUUAAAGUUUUGAAUAGGGUAGGCAAGGUUGCCUACAAGCUAGAUAUGCCACUUAAGUUAAAGGUACACUCGAUGUUUCAUGUUAGCAUACUUAAGUCAUUUUAUAAAGACGGGAGAGAUCUAAGACAGCUUGAGUCAAGGUGUGUACCAUUGAGAGCUAAGGUCCUAUAUGAGAGAGAAGUCCAAAGCAUCAUUGUUGGUCAAAAAGUAAUGCAAUAAAAUUAUCAGCCAAGAUAAGAGUACUUGAUGCACUAGAAAAGACUUCUAGACAAUGAGGUGAGCUGGGAACUAGCAAAGGACUUAUGGUAGUUUUAAGACUAGAUUAGGCAGUUUCACGUAAAGGAUGCAAUGAAGGGAUCACGUAAUUAGAUUGAGAAGAAUGUCAUGCAUUGGACGGGUGUACUAAGAACUAAGGUCGAAGCAUAUGUGGCCAAGGUUCAACACCAGGGAUAGUUACGGAUGAUGGCAUAAUAAGCGUAUGAGAUAAGUCCAGAUCACCUAGAUAACAUGCAAGCCUGCCCGUACAAUUAAGACUAGGCUCGCACCAUGUUCGCACCACACUUAGGUGGACCUAAGAGAGCUUGGUCAAUCCAAAAUCUUUCAAAGGCAUCUAGAAUCAGUAACAUUCAGUAGGAGGAUUUAGUUGAUCUUGAAAAUAAAAAAGAGCCUCAUGUAAUAUGUGUAAUCAUGUGUAAUCUUAAUUUUUAGGAAUCUUGUAAAUCUUUUUAUUUUAGGAGAUAGCUGUAAGUAAAGUUAAUGGCCUCAACUAUAGAUAAAGGGUUGCUUCACCUUCAGUUGCACAUCAUCAGACACAUUAUUCUUUAGUAAUACACUGUAUAUUCUCGCACUCUUUGUUUUCUCUCUAACUUACGUAUUCUGCCUUUCUAGCUGUUUGUUUACCUGCAUGCUUGAUUUUUAGGUUGACUUAGUCCUAAGGAAUACAUCCCUGGUCUAAGGCCGCAUAGAUUUUAAGUCAAAGGUUGGAGCUCGUGACAAUAAUUCUUGGUUCAUUUAUUAGUGUGAUUGAUAGCCUAAUUGUACCUUUUACUAGCAUCGACUUGUUCCUAAACUAAUUAAGGUGGUAGUGAAAGGCUUCAACAUCUCCUUAGUGAUUCUCAUCUUAACAUAAUAAAAUAGUGAAGGAUGUUAGUUGAGUUCCCAUUGUCCAAUAGUAUCCUUUUCACUACAUGUAUACCGCGACUUGUAUAAUGAUAGCAUCAUCAUGCAAGAAUUAGAUUCUUUUUAAAUUUUUGAGUUAAAAAAGAUUGAUUCAUCCUUCCAACUUUUUUAUUUCUUGACCAUGGACCUAAUAGCCAUAACUAUUCCCUAGUCAAACUCUUUUUUGGCUGAUGUUGAAAUCCUAUCAGUUAUUACAAUAAUGAUACUUGUAAUGGGUCUAUUAUCCAUAUCAUUUCUUUCUUUGUUUCUUUGGUCAAGCCUGCGAUCAAUAUUACCUCAGUUAUCACCUUUUCUUCUUUCAUCUUGGUUUCUUUUUAACUAUUCUCUUUUGUUUCCACUUUUGAAACUCCCCUUCAUCUAUUCUUAUCUUUUAUAGUCCCUAAAUCUGUUCAGCCAGCCUUUUUUAAUCAAAUUUUCUAUUUCAUUCAUCAAGUCGAUAUAGUUUUAGGUAUUGUGGUUGUGAUCCAUAUGAAAAGCAUAUCUUUCAGUUAGGUAUCUUUUAUUUUUAUUCCUUAGUGGCUUGGGCCAUCUAAGCUUAGGGUUUGAUAAUUCUUUAUUUUAUGGAAUUAUCCUAAGCUUAAUUAUAUGAAUUUUAUCAUCCUAAACUUAAUUUUAGCUUAUUCUUUAGCAAAUUCUUGCAAAUUUUCUUAAGUUUGUUUAUUUUGUCUUUUGUGUGGGUUAUU